UACAGAGGUCUCAAGCGUUGUUCGGAUUCAUUGGGCGUAAAGGGUGCGUAGGUGGCGGGGUAAGUCCGGUGUGAAAUCUCGGGGCUCAACCCCGAAACUGCAUUUGAUACUGCCUUGCUCGAGUACUGGAGAGGAGAUUGGAAUUUACGGUGUAGCAGUGAAAUGCGUAGAUAUCGUAAGGAAGACCAGUGGCGAAGGCGAAUCUCUGGACAGUUACUGACACUGAGGCACGAAGGCCAGGGGAGCAAACGGG
rnacentral:rRNA from 1 species